rnacentral:rRNA from 1 species
UACGUAGGGUGCGAGCGUUGUCCGGAAUUAUUGGGCGUAAAGGGCUCGUAGGCGGUUUGUCGCGUCGGGAGUGAAAUCCACUGGCUUAACUGGUGGCUUGCUUUCGAUACGGGCAGACUGGGGGUAUGCAGGGGAGAACGGAAGUUCCUGGUGUAGCGGUGAAAUGCGCAGAUAUCAGGAGGAACACCGGUGGCGAAGGCGGGUCUCUGGGCCGAAAUUGACGCUGAGGAGCGAAAGCGUGGGGAGCAAACAGG